rnacentral:rRNA from 1 species
GGGUGUGAUCAUACCUACGUUAAUGCACCGGAUCCCAUCAUAACUACGCAAUUAAGUGCACUUGGGCUAGAGUAGUACUUGGAUGAGUGACCUCCACAUAAGUCCUAGUGUUCCACCCU